rnacentral:rRNA from 1 species
UUAAAUUGAAGAGUUUGAUCAUGGCUCAGAUUGAACGCUGGCGGCAGGCCUAACACAUGCAAGUCGAACGGUAACAGGAAGAAGCUUGCUUCUUUGCUGACGAGUGGCGGACGGGUGAGUAAUGUCUGGGAAACUGCCUGAUGGAGGGGGAUAACUACUGGAAACGGUAGCUAAUACCGCAUAACGUCGCAAGACCAAAGAGGGGGACCUUCGGGCCUCUUGCCAUCGGAUGUGCCCAGAUGGGAUUAGCUAGUA